AUUGAACGCUGGCGGCAUGCCUAACACAUGCAAGUCGAACGGGGUGUAGCAAUACAUCUAGUGGCGGACGGGUGAGGAAUACAUAGGAAUUUGCCCUUAAGUGGGGGAGUAGUCCGGGGAAACGUACGUUUAAUUACCGCAUGAUCUCGUGAGAGCAAAGACAGGGGACCGGCCAAGGCCUUGUCGCUUUUGGUAGAAGCCUAUGUCGGAUUAGCUAGUUGGUAGGGUAAUGGCCUACCAAGGCAACGAUCCGUAACUGGUCUGAGAGGAUGAUCAGUCACACCGGAACUGAGACACGGUCCGGACUCCUACGGGAGGCAGCAGUGGGGAAGUAAUUGGACAAUGGGCGGCAAGCCUGAUCCAGCAAUGCCGCGUGUGUGAAG
rnacentral:rRNA from 1 species